rnacentral:rRNA from 1 species
GCCCUUAACAGGAUUAGAUACCCUGGUAGUCCACGCCCUAAACGAUGGAUACUAGACGUAAGAGGUAUCGACCCCUCUUGUGUCGCAGCUAACGCACUAAGUAUCCCGCCUGGGGACUACGGCCGCAAGGUUGAAACUCAAAUGAAUUGACGGGGACCCGCACAAGCGGUGGAGCAUGUGGAUUAAUUCGAUACUAACCGAAGAACCUUACCCAGGUUUGACAUCGAUCGUAAGUCCAAGAGAUUGGACCCUCUUCCCAAAAGGAAGACGUGAAGACACUUGUUGCAUGGCUGUCGUCAGCUCGUGCCGUGAGGUGUACGGUUAAGUCCGCCAACGAGCGCAACCCUCGUCCUAUGUUGCCAGCGAGAGAGUCGGGAACUCAUAGGAGACCGCCGGUGUAAGCCGGAGGAAGGUGGGGAUGAUGUCAAGUCAGCAUGGCAGUUACGCCUGGGGCUUCACACAUGCUACAAUGGGCGAAACAAAGGGAUGCAAUAUCGCGAGAUGGAGCUAAUCCCAAAAAUACGCCCCCAGUUCAGAUUGCAGUCUGCAACUCGACUGCAUGAAGGCGGAAUCGCUAGUAAACGCAGGUCAGCUAUACUGCGUUGAAUACGUUCCCGGGUCUUGUACACACCGCCCGUCAAGUCACCUGAAUUGUCUUCACCCGAAAGUCGUGGCCUAACCUCGCAAGAGGAGGGAGCGGCCUAAGGUGAGGGGGGUAAGGGGGACUAAGUCGUAACAAGGUAACCAAGGC